rnacentral:rRNA from 1 species
UUGGAGGGUUUGAUCCUGGCUCAGGAUGAACGCUGGCAGUGUGCCUAAAACAUGCAAGUCGGACGGUCCUAGGGUUAGAGGCUAGAGGCUAACUAAAAUGGUUAGUCUUUAGUCUCUAACUCUAGGAUAGUGGCGAACGGGUGAGUAACGCGUGAGUAACCUACCCCCAAGACGGGGAUAACAUCCCGAAAGGGAUGCUAAUACCCGAUGUGGUUAUGAGCUCAUAGGAGCUUAUAACUAAAGGGAAGCGGAAGCGACCGCUUGGGGAUGGGCUUGCGUCCCAUCAGCUAGUUGGUAGGGUAAUGGCCUACCAAGGCGAUGACGGGUAGCUGGCCUGAGAGGGUGGUCAGCCACACUGGGACUGAGACACGGCCCAGACUCCUACGGGAGGCAGCAGUUGGGAAUCUUCCGCAAUGGGCGAAAGCCUGACGGAGCGACACUGCGUGAGGGAAGAAGGCCUUCG